CACGCAUGCGCACUGCCAAAGUCUGGACAGUUCUGCCCAGUGUCUCCUGCUGAACCACAGCCAUGCCUUCGCAUCCAGAGCACAGCGAUAAAAGCAAGAGAGCAGCUUUGUUCUGAGUGAAGUCGAAAGAGAGAUGAGGAUGUACGUCUCUGCUUCCAUUCUUACCAUGCUCCCUGAGACCAGUCCACAGCACUGAACUAGGCAUCUGGGUGGAAAGCCAAAGAGGAAGGAAGUCAUGAACCUGAGAGGAAGGAAGUCAUGAACCUGAGAGGAAGGAAGUCAUGAGCCGGAGAGGAAGGAAAUAGGAAGUCGUGGACUCUGGAUGGCGGAUGAUGAGAAGCUCAUUGCGAGGUUUGAUCUCCAGCCCUGGAACAUCUUUGGAACAGUGAGUGUGGACUUUCCAGCGUAAUCCAUAGGUGCCAGCUUCGCGGCGGCCGUGUAGGAUAUUCACAGGAAGACAGUGUGCCUCCCGAGGGGCUGCAUUAAACUGAACUGACUGUCAGACAUCAAAGAGCGACAACAAGAAAGAAGGCGGACGGUGUUCAUCUCCCCGGUUCUUUGUGCGCAGGUGCAGCUUUGUUCUCAGGCUGCAAAUUAAGUCUCUGCUGGUUUGGUACGGUCAACCCAGUUUCCUGUCCUAAAACGCUAAGCAGCUGGAGCUGAUUCAGGAGCGUUGAGGCUUCAGCAGCCCCGAGGCUGGCCCGGAAGGAGUCUCCCAUUCAUCCGCAUCCACAUUUCUUCUCGAGGCAAGCCAAGCUUAUUGAAAUACAUAACGGCAGCCGCCUUUGCUGUUCGUGGGCGAUUCGGUGGAUGGGAAAAUGACAGUGGACCACAGUGAAGCUGAAUGCAUGAGUUUCAAAUUGCGAGUUCUUACGCAGGCAGAUUGUUGUGGUUAAGCACCCAUUUGAGGAAACCCCAAAUCCUAAAAAGUUGAAGAGAGAGAAAAUGUUCUUCUUUGAAGAUGGACAUUAUUUGCUGUUCCAAGAUCCAAGGUCUCUUAUGAAUGAAAUGCGGAAAACCCAUGAGUUAGACCAAAUGACUUUUAGAAACGUAUUUACUUUAUUUUCAACUAAGUGGACAUGUGCAGGUAUGUGUGCUGGUGUGUACAGGCACUCGUGGAGGCGAGCUGUGUUGGACCUCUUGGACUUAGAGGUUCAAGUAAUUGUGAACUACCUGACCUGGAUGUUGGGAUCACAACUCAGGCUUCUACAACAGCAGUGCGUGCUUUUAAAAACUGAGCCAUCUAGCCUUGUGGAGCAAAUGCUUUAAAGUAAACUCUAGAAUAUAAUUAUGACUGUAUAUGUUUGCUCAGGCAUACCAGUCAGAUAAAUCUGAGUCUCUGGGUAGCUUAGCUGUCUCCACCUGUGCUUCUGGUAACUAUAGGCCCUGCCUAAUCAUCAUGAUCCCCUGUGCCCAGCUCGGUCUCUUUUUUCUUUUCUGUUACAAUUUGCCAGAAUGCUUUCAAUAUCGCUGUGCCUGAAAGAUGAUCAGAACUCUGUGGCCUGGGCUAUGUGUCAUACAUGUUCACAUAUGUGGAAACCUGAGGUCAACUUCAGGUGUCUCUCUUCACACACCAUCAGCCUGGAGACAGCAUCUCUCACGGGUCCUGGAAGUCAUUGGUAUUGCUGGCCAGCUAGCCUUAAGGAUCCAUCUCUUUUUGCCUUUCAAGUGCUGAGAUGGAAUAUAAUUUUAUGUUUGGUUUUGGCCAUACGGUUUAUUAAUAUAGUUAAGCUCAACUUUAGAUUUUUUUUAAUAUUACAGUUAGACUUCAAGGUUUCUUUGGGCUGUUUGUUUGUUUGUUUUUGUAUUUUUGUUUUUUUGAGUCAGGGUUUCUCUGUCACUUUGGAGCCUGUCCUGGAACUAGCUCUUGUAGACCAGGCUGGCCUCAAACUCAGAGAUCCACCUGCCUCUGCCACCCGAGUGCUGGGAUAAAAGGCGUGUGCCACCACCACCCGGCCGACUUCAAGGUUUCUAUUUUGUCUGAUUUACCUGGCUUUGAUACCAUUAACCAUAAACUUUUUUUUUUUGAUUGAACUCAGGGCCUUGUACCUGCUAGGCAAGCACUCUGCCACUCAGCUACAUACCCAGGCCCCGCUGACUGCAUAGGGCACAGUCACAGGCCUGGUGAGUCAGGCAGAAGGGUGAGAAGAGCAAGCUCCCAUCUCUCGUCAAGAGAAGACUGAUACACAAAUAGAAAAUGGAAAACGGGAAGCCGUGUCUGUGGUUAUUUCCUUGGCAUCUGUAAUAUCUACCAGAACAUUUGAUAACACGAAAGGGUUAUUUCUCAGUGGGGAAAAAAUGGCCAUCAGGAGCACAUAGAAAGGCAGCCUUGUUAUAUAUGGCUGGUGUUGAGGCAAUGUCGGAAUGCAAGUGGAAUUUAGAAGGCAGCCAGGGCCUGCUUCUGUGAUUCUGACCUCGCAGAAGUGAUGGGGAUGUAGCUCUCACUGACUCAGAAACUUCCGGGUAAAAUAAGAAGGGGGUUCCUACUUCCCUUCAGACUGGCUACGUGUUGUGGAUUGAGUGUGAAAUGGCUCCCACAGGCUCAUGCGUUUGAACGUUUGAUCUCUAGCUGGUGGCACGGUUUGGGAAAGUUAAGGGACCUUCAGAAGGUGGAGCCUGGUGGAAGGAAGGACAUCACCGGGAGGAGGAGAGUAAGACGUGGAAUUGCAUAGCCUGGCCCCACUUUCUAUUUCCAGUCUUCUUCAGGGUGGCUGAUGGAAUAUGUUGGGCCAGCCUCACACUCCAUGCUCUUCCCAUCCUGAUUGGCUGUAUUCCUCUGGAACUGUAAGUGAAAACAAACCCUUUCUCCUUACCUUGCUUUGGUCAUGGUAUUGCAUCGAGGCAACAGAAAUGAAAUAGAAGAUACGACAUCACAAGACGUGAUUAACCCAGUCAGAUUACGGGGAAGAGAGAUGUGUGGACAAACGGCUUCUGAGAAGCCUCUGGAGCUGACCUUGCAGGAUGAAGAGAUUCCCAUAACGUCGAGGAGUGGCACAGGGUGGUAAAAGUACAAAAUCGGUGCUUACUUCACAGAAAAAGAUGUUGAGUUCUCCCUAAACUGCACGCCACCAACAUGUAUGGUGCUAAGUCGAGUCCUGAAACGUGGCCAUCUUCAGUAAGACUUCCUUUUAUCUGUCCAAGUUCUGGCCAUUUUAAAGAUGCUCGCCAGUUUUCUGCAUGUUUGUAUUAACUAUUUUCUGUCCUGUUGUGCAGUCUUACCUGUCCAUGGAAACAGUACAAAGACUGUUCCCGACCAUUCCCAGGUUCCAGUUCCCAGAGUUACAGCCUCUCCGCCAGCUAAAUAAGGGUCUCAGUAGAGAGGAUUGGUUUAAUUUAAGUCACAGAGUGUUAGAAGGUCUC